UUUCCAGUGCUUCUAGUUUCAAGUUUACAAAAGGGUAUUUUUUUACACCAAUACUCACUUAGGCAGUUUGGUUAAAAUCUUUGGUGACAUAAUUGCAGGUAUUUUUGAAUGAAAAUGCCCACUGAGUUUUGUAGUUUGUCCUCCUGUCUUCAAAACUGAUGGCUGUGCUCACUGCUACUUUGGAGGUAAAGCAUGUGUCCUGGUGCCUGUAGAGAGAUGUAGGAGCAGCAGGAAAAACAGUAAGGCUGUUCUAAUAGCCAUCAAGAAUAAGGUCAAUACUGACAUGGGACAGCAGGUUAAUACCUCAAUAGAUUUUUUAAAAAUUAUUAUUAAAUCCUUUUGGAUUGUUCUACAUCUUGUUUUUGAGAUGGUCUUAAUUGUGGAACGUGUCCUGCACAGUGUCCUCAGGAAACCUGAUACAUCCUAACAUUUCUCCUUCAGUAACAUGAAACUGUUACCCUUCUUAGACGUGAAGACAGGUUAAAAAAAGAAAAAGUAAGUUUUACAAGCAAAUAUCCAAACACUGGGUCUGGAUGCUCUUCCUCAUUCAAAGAAUAAAGUUUUGCUGUACUUCUGAUCAGUAUGUAUAGGAUUCUGAAGAAAGAAAUAUUUUACAAGGCUGCUUUGUGAGAAAGUUGUACUGGAACAAAGAUGUGCGAUGGUAGGAAAUGCAGGGUGAGUCCUGGGGAUUGGUUUGGAUAAUACUGUAGGAAAUACCUGGAAACCGUUGGGGUUUUGGUUUUGGUUUUUGUUUGUGGUUUUUCUUGGUUUUUUUUUUUUUUUUUUUUUAAACGUAGGAAAGCAGAGGCUUCUACCUUCAUCAGUGCUUUUUCCUAUUACCAGUACGGGUUGCAUGUGAAGCAGCUGGAAUUCUUGAUGUCAAUAUAUUAUAUAAAGGCUUCCUAUGUGUUUAGUAGCUGGGGAGAGAAACUGGGGCAGUUGGGUAUUUCUCAAGUAUAUUUUUGUUUCUGGAAGCUGUCAAAGGAGAUUUCACAACCUUCUCGUGAACCUUUGAACUAAAGAACACCCCUGUGUCACAUAAUCUGGUCUGGCCCAACAAGCAGGGCUUAAGGGACACAGUCAAUCUUUCUUGCUUCCUUUCCUCUUUUCUAAGCAUAGUACAGCAUGGCUGUCGUCACCCGCACAACACUGACUGCAACCCAAUAAUUGCAACAUACUUGUUUUUAACCUGUGUUGAUGUGAUUUGUCAGUGUUUUUUUGUGGUUUUUUUUUUUUUUUUCCUGAAACACAUCACGUUUCAGUAAUAAAUCAACUUGAACUGGGAAUCUCUUCAUAGGUCUCUUGUGUAUGGUAUUAGGACUUACUGCCCUCAUUAGAGAACUGUUGUCUCCUCCUUCCCAUUCCCCAUUUCAAAGGCUACUCAGGAUGAGAAACAGUGUCUGAACUUACAUGCAGAAGCCCUAGUAUCUGCUGGUGGUCACAUGUAAUAAGAGGGUUGCAGUUUUCUGCUAUCCCUCUAAAAGCUGCAUUUUCUUUCAGUCUGUCUCCUCGGCUGCAAAGUUGGGGUUUUUUUAAGUUUUUCUGGCCAUUGUGGGAGGGGAAAGAAUGAAGUUAAAAUUAGCUCAUAUUUUAUGAGCUAUUUAAAGCUGUUCUUUAACUCUGUCCAGUCAACAUCAGUAAUUUAAGCAGUGUAGCACUAUUCUAGGUUACGUGGAUGCUCCAAAGACUUCGUUUUGCAUUAUGUCCUGAGGCUGCAAAUGCAGCUGCUAAUUUAAACAGCUUUCUGAUCCUUCUUAUGCAAGAUGGGUACGUCUAGGACAGUAAAAGCUUCCUGAAUUGUGAAAACCUCUUCAAAUUGAGUAACUAGAAGCUGUAGUAAAUUUAAUCCAGCUUUUCGCAUUAGGUCAUCCUAUAGAGAAGUGUGUGAAAUUGAAUUCAUAUUAACUUCUGAAAAGCUAAGCCUGUUUGAAACUAGAGGCCAGUCAUGGGCUAAACAAUGCUUUUAUGAUGGGGUGGGUAUGUAAAUAUUCAUAAGAAUUAAAAGCAAACUUGCUGGAUUACACCUUGGGUACACCUGGGCCCAGUGGCUGCAUUGCUGUUAUCAGCUCAAUGGGACGACGGCAGCCUGGCUCAGAAGAGUGCGUGCUAAGCCUGUCUGAGUGGGUUGUAUAUUUUUGAGUGCUGUCCAGAAAUGUUAAAAAUAACAUUAAUCAUGAGUAUGCAUGUUGAGUGUGUUUGAGAGAAGAAUGCCUGCAGCUGUUGGAGAACAAUAACAACCAUAACAAAUAACACACAAUUAACUCAAAAUAAGUGAGGUUCGGAUCAGUUUCACAAAAAAGAUAAUGCUUAUCAUAAAGCUUAUCUCAGCAGCUUCAACAUGAUGAUUCCACUGUAUGAGCUUUCACAAGACUCUUUCUGUUUUAGGGGGAAAAUAUAUGGUUGAUUUUUCUUGGAAAAAGCAGCUCAACUUCUUUAUAAAGCCCUUUCUUUUUACAUACUGCGUAUGUGCUAAGGGAAGCAUAUUUUCACUGAAGGUUGUGCUGAGCAUGGAACACUGUUCUUAAUAUACCUGGUGUGAUUUUGGUACACAUGCAAGCUGUUUAUUCUUUAGGUUAUUUUGUCUCUGAACCCCACAGACUGGAAUGGUGGCUAGAUUUUAAACAAGGUAGUGAAAGGAGAGAUGUUAAGAAAUGGCAUAGUAAUUCUAUUUAAAUCAAAAAGGCAUAUAUUUACAGCCAAUGAUAAAAUAUCGAAGUCAGACUUUAUAGUAUUAGUAUACACAAGGUUAACUUGUAAUUUCCAUCAGUUAGAUUUUUGAAUUGAUGUGUGUAUAUUCAGACUGAAAGUAUCAGAUCCAUUUGUGAGGGGAAGAGGACUUCUUCCAAUGCAGUGUAUAAGCCUUGGCAGAAAUAACUGUAUUAGAUUGUUGGCUUAUCUUUCAGCUUGCCUUUUGAAGUGUGUUUCGUCAUGUCUGUUCAAUUAAUCAUUACAAAGGGUUAACCCUGAGGUGAUAGUGGAAUCUUCUCAAAGACCAUCGACUGCUUUAGUAUGCAGUAUCUACUGGUGCCUCUUGCUGCCUCAUGUGGAGGCAGAGCCGCGGAUGUGCUGCUGCUUCGGUAGAUACUAGUGGUGAUGACUUGUCAGCAGCUCUCUGAGAAGGGGCUGUCAGUAAUGGCUUAUGAGCUCCCCAGUCCCAUCUGAAGGUACUUAUUUCUGCUUGCUGCGGUCAAGGCUUUCAUGUGGCUUUACAGUGUGGGCCUCCUGUGGAGCUGUUAGUGCAGCAUGUAACAGCACCAGCCUACUCAUGGCACGGUGUCUGUCGUUCCCCUAAUUACUGUCUGUGCGCUUGCAUUGGUGCUGACUGCCAGGAACUUGAAACCAAUACCUUUUGACCUUUGAGGAAUCUAACAUGAACACACCUUGUCCUGGUUUUGAUUUUGAUCAUAUUUUAAACUUAUCUCCUCCCUGAUUCUCAUCAAGCUUUAUUUCUACUUGCCUGACUAAUGUCAAACAUAAGCCAAGUCUGAGAUAUCAUCUUGAGUGUCUGAGAUGCACAGAACUCUUUGGCUGAACACACAUGUAUGGCCUGGAGAAGAGAGCACACAGAGCUAUCUUUGUCUUAAAGGGCUGCUUAUGAUGAGUCGUUCACCCUUAAAAGAUGCUGCAACAAUGUCCAAGUAAUAGGUGAAAACAUGAAGCCUACUCUGAGCCUCCUGUUCAAAUUAUUCUCCUGGACGCAGUCUGCAGUGGGACAAGCUUGGAACAUGUGUUUUCCAACCAGGAUUCAUGUUAGGGUUAGUACCACCGGUUGGGAAAAGCUGUUCAGGGAAAGCGAGCCUGAGAAAUUGCUGGCAGCCCAUGAGGCUUUUCUAGCUUACUCUACAAGCCCAUCUGGGGAACUGAGAGGAGUUUUUGCUGAGCUGGGAGAGCCUGCUGGAGAAUGGACACACUAACCGAGAUGGAGAGCAGCAUGUGCAGAGAGGAGCUCUGUGAAGCAGACCUGGAGGGACCAGGAGUGAUGCAGUGCCCUUGGGGAAACCCCUCUGAAGGGUGGAUUUCUGGCCAGCUAGUGGCUUCCUCAGAAAGAGGGCUUGGCACCAACCCUCUGGAGUUUGAUUAGGAGUAGAUCCCACAAGGACUUAAAUUCUUUGGUUUGGUACAAAAAAGAUGCUGUGGGUUGAUGUGAGAUCUCUAAUACACACUGUGGCACAGAGGUGCAUCUCACCUGUUGUGCUAAUUAUACAGAAGACAGCUUGGCUCACCACCAAGGCUGGUGCUGAUGUACCACAGGAAGAGUAAUCUCCUGUUGCUGUGUUUGAUGCUUUGCACAGUGAAGAUUGUGUGGCCCACUCUACUGCAUCAGCCACAAAUAAGGGCAUGCAGAUCUUGGGCACUUGUUGAGAGCUGAAGUGAUCAUCCGUGAGCUCACAAGAUGCUGUAGCACAUGGAGUUUCCUCUUGAGGCAUGACCAGAUCACCCGCUCAUCAGCAGAGUUCUUCAGUCUGCAGGGGCUCACCUUUCAGAAGCUGGGGAAGUAUCUUCAGCAUCAUGUGCAUGAAACAAUUGAUUCUUUUUUGUAGCCAGAAUAGUCUGGUGAGGACCAAAAAAAGCACUUAGUUGGAAUUAGUCCAUGGCCAUCAAUACCAGUCCUUGCCAGUUUUCCCAGCUGUGUGGGCAGUAGGCUUUUGGCUAGCCUUGCUUGAUUUCAUGGCAGUAGUGCAUUGUCUUUUGGAAGUAAAAGGCAUUCUUGCCCUUCUUUCCUCAUCUGUGAUGUGGUGGCUUAGGAAAUAGGAAGUACAAAUCUGUUUUAAGUCGGUGUUUGUGAUAGCGAACAACCUUGGUUCAGGGUUAUAGGGCCUGUUCAACAGAAAAGGCAACAAACACAUUCAUACAUAAAACAUGCUCACAGCCUUUUGACAUGCAGAAUCCUUCUCCCUGUAACCAUUUUUACAAAUGUGCUCACCUUUUUUGCAUCUCCAGCAACAAAACUUCAAGGCUUUUCACAGUGUGCUGACAUGAUUGCAUCGAUUGCUUUUCUGAGUCGUUUCUGCUAAAUGACAGAUGAUACAUCCUGGAGACCAGGUUGAUAUUAGCAGCACUUCAAAACCAAGUUUCUGUCUGCAACACCUUCCCAGGUAUGCAGCUUCCAGUCCUCUCCUGGAGUUUUGUGAUGGCUCCAGCCUUCCUUGGAUUCCAGGUUUCUGUACAAAUAUAAUGUAAUGCUUUGUCUUUAAUAAAGCUACAGUGUGUA